AAUCUGUUGUUACUGUUCAUCGUUCAGCCAUCUUGGAUUUAUCCAUAUUGUGUCACUCUUUCUAUUGCAAUAUGCUUGCACUCAUAGAGAGUUGAAGUAAUUUUUGUAUGUAUUAUCUAGUGUCCGUCCUACUGUCACAGAAUCCCUUCAAUUAGGGUUUUUGUGAUCGGGAAUUUAGAAAGAAAGAGAGAGAAAAGAAUAGAAGAUAGAGGGAGAGAAUAUUCUUUAUUGAUAUCAACUGAUGUCCAAUUAUACAGGUGCAUUUCCUAUUUGUAGUGCAAUCCUAUAACUGUUCUA
rnacentral:misc_RNA from 1 species